AACACUUUCUCACCGAGGGUGACUGUGCACAUUCACAGGUUGCCCUGAGGGGUUAUGGGCACUCCAUCCUUGGUGGUAUCCAAAAGGCAUAUGAACACAAUGCUGGGCAUCUUGCUGCAGGUAGGAGGCUCUGCCUGAACAGAGACUUUGGACAAGAUGACCUCAGGAGAUUCCUUCUAACCUCUGCCUUUCUUUGAAACAUGUUGAGAGCUGUUAAUGUGGUCAUCAUCUUCAGCACUGUUUGAAUCAUAAAAUCACCAAGGUUGGAAAAGACCUCCAAGAUCACCCAGUCCAACCGUCCACCUACCACCAAUAGUUCUCACUGAACCAUGUCCCUUCGGACAACAUCUGAAUGCUUCUUGGGCACCUUCAAGGACAAUGACUCCACCAUCUCCCUGGGCAGCCCAUUCCAUUGCCUGACCACUCUUUCAGAGAAGAAAUUUUUCCUAACACCCAACCUGAACUUCCCCUGCCCUAUGGCAAUACUUCAUGGCUGUUUUAGCUAAACCUUGCAGAAUUUACACCAGGUCCUGAAGCAGAAAACCACCUUACUGUCUGCAGAACUCGCUGGUGAUGUUUGGAAGGGGAUAGGCAAAGAGAGUGAAAUCCAGGAUGUACUUUGGGAGCAACUCUUCUAUCAGCCUGUGGUUGGUGUUGUGCAGGUAGUAAUGGAGCAUUUCCACCGUCACAGGCUUGUACCACAACUGCCCUUCUGGGAAGUGGGUGAAGGAUGGUGCCUGAACUUCCUCCAGGACACGGUUGACGUGUACCACAUAGCGCAGGGCUGGCACAGGCUGUAGAUGGGCAUCCAGUGCUCGUUCAUCCUCUCCACCUUCUCAUCCAGUAAUGUAGUGGAGAAACUCAGAGAAGGUCACGUUGCUGCCCACCGACUUCCCUCCGUUCUUCUGAUACCGCCUGACUGUCUCCACCCCAUACUUCUGCUGGCACGAGAUUUUGAGGUGUUUGGAUGACAUGCAAACAAAAAAGUUUAAGAUCAUCUCACUCCUCAGAACCAGCACAAAUGUUCACAUUCUGUUAGGUUGGUGCUUUACAGCCACCAUCCUUUACAGCAGUCUCAGGUGACUGAUGUCAGGCAAGUCAGUUGGCAAAAAGUGAAAACAUACUGCAAGAACCCCUGAGAAAGAGACUGCCUUUGUAACUGAAUGGCUGCAAGUGACCUGCAGCUGUGGCUUUGUGCAGCUGUGCAUGCAGUAGUGUGAGCACAUGGACCUGCUGCUCUCCAAAGUCCACUGCCAAGCAGGAACAGUUUUUCCAAGCAAGCACCCAAGUUACAAGAACCUUCAUUACCGGUGUCUGUUAGUAAAAAAUGAAAUACCUCUGUGAUUUCAUGGAGAAACUUGUAUCUCCUAUGACCAGUCCCAUAAAGCCACUGAAUCACAUAAUUCCUGAAAACGGAAAUUUAUGGGGCCAAUUAAGGGUGUCUCAGUAAAGAUGCCUGUCUUCUUAUAAGUUAUUUACAUAGCUUUGUAAAUAUAUGGUGCAGAAGAGGAGGAGUUCUGAGCUGUGUAAGUGAAAAGCCCCCUCUCUAGUGGAUUUGUGAACUAGAUAUACAAGUGAAAUUGAAGACAAGCAGAUAUAAAAAUCCUGCAG
ensembl:lncRNA